GGAUGUGAGGGAGAUCUGACUGUGACCUCUCAUCCCAUUGAUUGCCAGGGUUGAUUCGGUUGACUUGCCUGCUAGGCUAGUGUCCUUUUUCUCCCUCACUGCUCCAUGUGUGUCCCUGCUGAAGCUGCGCUUGGUCGAUGAGGACAACCACCCCUGAUAGAGGAGGACCGCCCCUGAUAGAGGAGGACUGCCCUUGAUAGAGGAGGACCGUUGUUUCCUUCAUCAAGGGUAUAGGAGUAGCUGCGCUCCCCUGCUAGACCCUCCAAACAAGUUCUCAAGAAGGAAGUUCCCUGGUUUUUGCCCUUGUCCAAUCUAUACCUGAAACCUUAAUUAGCAGAAAGAUGUAUUUAAUCUGUAAACUAA
rfam:Heterocephalus glaber contig75547, whole genome shotgun sequence.